rnacentral:rRNA from 1 species
UACGUAGGGUGCAAGCGUUAAUCGGAAUUACUGGGCGUAAAGCGUGCGCAGGCGGUUUUGUAAGUCUGAUGUGAAAUCCCCGGGCUCAACCUGGGAACUGCAUUGGAGACUGCAAGGCUAGAGUGUGUCAGAGGGGGGUAGAAUUCCACGUGUAGCAGUGAAAUGCGUAGAGAUGUGGAGGAAUACCGAUGGCGAAGGCAGCCCCCUGGGAUAACACUGACGCUCAUGCACGAAAGCGUGGGGAGCAAAC